rnacentral:misc_RNA from 1 species
ACCAAGCAGCAGUAUCAUUCCUCCAUUUUCCAAAAACCCAAACUUUCUGUGAGCCCAAAAAAAAAAAAUGGGUAGCAACCAAGCAGCAGUAUCAUUCCUCACAAACAUUGCACGCGCCGCCUUCGGUCUCGGCAUCAGCGCCACCGUUCUCAACUCCUCCCUCUACACCGUCGACGGUGGUCAACGCGCCGUCCUCUUCGACCGAUUCCGAGGAGUCAUCGAUGAUACCGUCGGUGAAGGUACUCAUUUCCUCGUCCCAUGGCUUCAAAAGCCUUUCAUCUUUGAUAUCCGUACUAGGCCCCACACAUUCUCCUCCGUCUCCGGCACGAAGGAUCUCCAGAUGGUCCACCUUACCCUCCGUGUCCUCUCGCGCCCGGAAGUUUCACGUCUUCCCUUUAUUUUCCAAAACCUAGGUCUCGAGUAUGACGAGAAGGUUCUACCGUCGAUCGGUAACGAGGUAAUGAAGUCCGUCGUAGCUCAAUUCAACGCUGAUCAGUUGCUCACUGAGCGUCCACAAGUCUCAGCUUUAGUUCGUGAGAGUUUGGUCCGUCGUGCUAAGGAUUUCAAUAUUGUGCUUGAUGAUGUGGCGAUUACGCACUUGUCGUAUGGUGCAGAGUUCUCUAAGGCUGUGGAGCAGAAGCAGGUAGCUCAGCAGGAAGCAGAGCGGUCUAAGUUCGUGGUGAUGAAGGCUGAGCAAGAGAGGAGAGCAGCUAUUAUUAGAGCUGAAGGAGAAAGUGAGUCAGCUAAGUUGAUUUCGGAUGCUACUGCAGCUGCUGGAAUGGGGUUGAUUGAGCUCAGGAGAAUCGAGGCUUCGAGGGAGGUUGCUUCAACCUUGGCUAAGACUCCCAAUGUGUCUUACUUGCCUAAGCAGGGCAACAUGCUUCUUGGUCUCAGCGCCCCACGUUGAGUAGGUAAUUAGGUUUACUAUGUUGAGUGUUAUUCGAAAAUGAUCAUGUACUAUUUAAUUUGCCUCAAUAGUUACUAUGAAAAUGUGAUGAAUGGGAUCAAGAAACAGUGGAAUAGUAAGUUAGAGAAAGAAUCAGGAGGAAUAAAUUAAGGACAUUUCUCUUUCGGAAAACUACCAAAUUGUGCCUUUUUGUUUCAUUAAUUGUAUGGUAAUGUUUGGAUAAUCUUCGUUGAGUUCAGAUUCUGAGGUUGUAUCUUUUGAUAAGUUCGGAAAAG